rnacentral:rRNA from 1 species
UACAGAGGGGGCAAGCGUUGUUCGGAAUUACUGGGCGUAAAGGGCGCGUAGGCGGCCUGCUAAGUCGAACGUGAAAUCCCCGGGCUCAACCCGGGAACUGCGUCCGAGACUGGCGGGCUUGAAUUCGGGAGAGGGAUGCGGAAUUCCAGGUGUAGCGGUGAAAUGCGUAGAUAUCUGGAGGAACACCGGUGGCGAAGGCGGCAUCCUGGACCGAUAUUGACGCUGAUGCGCGAAAGCCAGGGGAGCAAGCGGG